GUCACCAGUCGCUGGGGGGUCUCCGUUCUCCAGGCCGUCGCCCGGGGUCCCUGUCAUGGAGUCCCCAGGCGAUGCUCUGGAACUGCUCCCCACAAAGCCAGUCAGGACUUUGGGGAGCCUCCUCUCCCUCGGAGCAGACUGUCUUCAGGGCAAGAAGCUCACACGGCUUCACCUCCUGGGUCUGAGCUUGGAGCAUUCAGCUUCUGCCCCUCCGUGCGCUUCCCACAGCGAGUCCGCCCGGGCGGGGUCCUGGGGCAGCCAGAGGGUCCUGCACCCCCACUUCGCAGUCAGAUGUGACUCUCAGCCAGCCAGUAAAACAGAGCUUUAUUAGAUGACAGGAACACGGUCUAACACAGAGCUUGUAGGUACAGCGAACGGGACCCCCUCCGCUGGGUCCAUUCUGGGGCCCAGCGUGGCAGAUCUGCCCUCCCUUCCAGUCCCCAGAUAGCUCCAAACUCCCGUCCAGCCCCUCCUUCUCUGGGCUUUGUCUCUUUCCCGGGCCAGGAGGUCCCCUGUUCCCUUUGUCUCCAACACCUUCAGUUGGCACCUUUCUGCAGCAACCAGACACCCUUAUCCCACCCCCUAGAUACUUAAGAACUGCAUAGGGGAAACUGAGGAAAACAUUAAGAACAGUCCCACUUCGUCACAGUCCCAAAUUCCCUCGCUGGGCCUGUGUCCCAACAAACUCCCUCUCCCCUCCCUCGUUAAACCAGGGACACUGAGUCCCACCCCCGCGGCGUGCAAACCAGUGACAAAACCCAGAGAACCCCCCCACACACUUCAUUACAGCGAUUGUGGGACACUGGCCCAGGCGCUUGUGUUCUCCACCGGGCGUCACUGACACCCAUUCAGCUACCGAGCGUCUCGUCCUGCCCGUUGGUUCCUGUCUUCACCCAGCUCCUCUCCCCCAUGGCGUGGGGUCCAGCCGCGCUUCUCUGACAGGCCAAUACUGAUCCAGGAGGCAGAUUUCCCUGUCCAAAGCCCCAGCAAACUGUGCUGCACUGUGUUAAAACCAGCGUCAUGUCAGCCACAUACCGCAGGGACCAGUCCUGCCACUUCCUAGCCUGGGCAAGUCAUUGAUUUGUCCCGACCCUCGGCCUGAUCCCACUGCAUCUUUCCUCACCGUGACGGGUUUGUGCCUUGCUGGGCGGGGCAGUGUCUGAGCCUCUCACGUUAAGUCUGAGCCACUGUGACAGUGUUUUUACACCAACAACAAGGAGUCUGGUGGCACCUUAAAGACUAACAGAUUUAUUUGUUUUUACACCGUGUCCAUGCAGCUGUUUCACUUGUGUGCCCGUGGGAGGCAGCUGAGAUCACUCAAUCGAACAGACAAACCCCGAACGCUGAGAUUUACCAAACCAGCUUCUGUAGGACCUCACUGGUUACUCCGAAGUCCAAACAGCGCCGUUCCCUUAAAGUGGCCACAAUGAUAACGUAAAUCUUACCCAAAAUAUACGCUACAGCCAAUUCUUAUUAACUAAGCUAACAUUGAUUAGAAAAGAAAAGCGAGAGAGAGUUGGUUGAAAGAUCAAUGUACAGACAGACUUGAGUUCAAUUCUUGAGGUUCAGACACAGCAGAGAUGAGCGUGUAGAAACAGUCCAGAGGUUACAGGCCAAUGUCCGAGCAGAUCUGACAUGAAGCAGGAUCGUCUUAGCUACAGGUUACUUCCUUCACAUUAAUAUUCCUUUUUUGAUCUUUGAAUCAAAGCUGUAGUAAUAGACAAGACUUGUUUGCUCCCAUCACAAGCCCUGAGCAAACCGCUCCCCUUCUCUCUCUAACAAUGCGGCUGCAUUUCAGAGCUCUGUUCGGUCACAGAUCUUCCUAGCCAGUCACUACAGUUCGGCCCUGGGUCCGGUCAGUAAUUAACUCUUCCUGGCCCUGUCACCUUCCACUGAGAUAUAAUGUCACAUCGGCCUCCCCUCGCAGGGCCCAGGCAGGGGGAAAUCCCAACAGCUCCACACUCCUUGUUCCACGGGGUGGGGCCGUCAGUCAUCGUCCACCCCAGCUCCUACCUGCACAUCACCAGGGCAUGGAGUGCCUCCUGCCAUUGCUACUGGUCCCCUGAGCAUUGCGGGGGGGGGCUGGCUGUGUGUCUCUGGAUUUCCGGCUCUUUCCUGCCAUGCAGCGACACCCACCUCUGACAGGUGCUGUCUGUCCUCCUGCAGUUCCGGGACCCAGAGCACGGCGAGUGGUUUGGCUACCUGGCGCAGGACGGGAAGGUGGCGCUCACCAUCAAGGGGGGACCCUUCAAGGGCUGCUUCCAUGUGCCACGGGCCCUCUACAUGUGCGAAGAGAUCCUGGAGAAGCUGCUGCAGGAGCCCUAGAGCCACCCUUGGGUGCUGAUAAAUAAAGUGACUUUUAUUCCUGGGACCCCAUUGAAGAAUUUGGGGUGGGGAAAUCAGGGACUGUGAUGGUGUCUACACAGAGAGGUGGACGAGGCUUUCUUCCAGCAACUAGCAGAAGUUAUAGAUCGCAGGCCCUGGUUCUCAGGGCAGACAAUCUAGGAAAUUGUUUGGAAGAACCAACUAGGGACAGAGCUUUUCUGGGCCCCUUACUGAAUGGGGGAGGUAACUAACCUAGUGACAAAAGCUAAUUGCCUUCUAUGCCAAGGGUCGGUCCUGGGGCUGGUUUUGUUUAGACACCAUGUACUGCUAGGGGGGUCACAGUGGAUGACCUUGGUGCCAAGGGGGCAUUGUUUUAUUUGACAUAGGUGAGGCCUACACCUAAUAACAUUUUGGGCCACACACUACAAGAAGGAUGUGGAAAUAUUGGAGGGUCUGGAGCACAUGAGAGGUGUUGUACUUAAAGUACUGCACAGGAUCCAAAAGAACAACCAUUCAACAUCAACAGGGCAAUUGAUUAAGGGGGGGGGGGGGGGAGGAGAGCUCUUGUUCUACUGCUAGCAAAAAGAAAAUUUUCUUCUAUCUUAUGCUCUCCUUAGGGCUAUAAUAUUCAUAGAGUCUAGGACUGGAAGGGACCUCGAGAGGUCAUCGAGUCCAGUCCCCUGCCUGCUAUCAUGUCCCCCUCUCAGUCUUCUCUUUUCCAAACUAAACAAACCCAAUUCCUUCAGCCUUCCUUCAUAGGUCAUGUUCUCAAGACCUUUAAUCAUUCUUGUUGCCUCGUGUCUUGCUCACCACACACCUGUUAAUACAUUCCAGGAUCAUCGUA